GCCUCUAAUACUCGGUUCUCAUUGCCUCCUUUGAGAGUGUCCACAGGGUCAUUUCCCAGGGAGCACCCAGUUGACUAGAAUGCAAUCAUUGCCUCGAGUCGCAUGGUUUUAUUGGUUUCUACUGGCAUUUUUCAGAAAGUCAGUUGAUCUCCCCUUUUCUUUUCUUCACAGGAAGCCCGUGGGAUCUGAGCUGGUUCCUAAAUCUCGGAUUACUCUGCCCGCUCCCAAUCCUGACCACGUAGGGGGCUAUAAACUGGCAGUUGCAACAUUUGCGGGCAUUGAAAACAAGUUCGGACUUUACCUACCUCUCUUUAAGCCAUCAGCAUCUACCUCAAAAGUGACCGCUGUGGGCUCAUAGGGGGACUGACCCGGAUGUGGCUGGAAAAUUGAUUGGAACCACAACAAGCCUCGUCAGGGUUUGAAGCAUGGCUCCGCCCCUUCCGCAUCUGUCCCAUUUAAAUUCAGGUCAAUGCUUCUUAUAUUAAAUGCAAUCAUUCAUUUUCUGGAUUUUUUUUGUAGCAAGAUCAUGUGGAAUUAUUCCUAAUUAUUCUUUGGCACGCUGCCCGUAACCUGUGUUUGUAUCUUUUAAAUACUGGGAUUUGGUCAAUACUAAACUUGAUCUGGAGUAAGUCUGAAGGGAAAUGAGGGAGGUCUCCUACCCGGAUGAUGGUCUCACUGAUGCUACUGAAAGGCAGCCAUGGUUUCUAAAAGAGUUCCGAGUAUGUUUAAAGUAGUAGAAAGCUAGGUAUGUAUUUAUAAAAAUGAAAAACACUGGAAGGGGGGGGAAAUCCAAAUAUCUAGCCUGGACUCA
rnacentral:lncRNA from 1 species